rnacentral:rRNA from 1 species
GAUGAACGCUGGCGGCGUGCCUAAUACAUGCAAGUCGAGCGAACGGACGAGAAGCUUGCUUCUCUGAUGUUAGCGGCGGACGGGUGAGUAACACGUGGAUAACCUACCUAUAAGACUGGGAUAACUUCGGGAAACCGUAGCUAAUACCGGAUAAUAUUUUGAACCGCAUGGUUCAAAAGUGAAAGACGGUCUUGCUGUCACUUAUAGAUGGAUCCGCGCUGCAUUAGCUAGUUGGUAAGGUAACGGCUUACCAAGGCAACGAUGCAUAGCCGACCUGAGAGGGGGAGGGCCCAAGGGGAAAGUGAGACGCGCUCGACACUCACGGGGGGCGGAGGAGUGGAGACUGUCCCGAAGGGCGCAAGCGCGUAGCGGAAAAGCGCCGUGAGAGAGAAAAGUCUUCUGGGAUUGAAAAUCUCUUUUAUGGGAAAAAAAUAUAUGUGAAAGAAAGUGUGCACCUUGUGGGGGCACAAAAAGAGAACCCCGGCUCUAACCGC